rnacentral:tRNA from 1 species
AGAGAUAAAGCUUAAAUCUGAGCGGUUCAUUUACACUGAAAUGGUUUUCGUGCGAGUCGGAAUAUCUUUG